CUCGCUUAACUUCAUAAAAAUUUGAAACUUGAUAAUAUGUAUAUGAUUCAAAAAAUGUAUUUUUAUUCCUUAUUAUUUUGGAUUGCAUUGAAUUAUAUUUUAAUAUUUAUAUUAUUUUUACAUUUUAGUUCAUUUAUAUAUUGAUUGGAGAUUCUUUUCAUAUAAAUUAGUUAAAUAUUAGUAAACAAUAUCGCUCGGUGUUUGAUAAAUGCUCGAUGCUCCGCCCUAGCUCACUCAAGCGGUUGGAUUCGUCCCUGCUUUGUUCCCACCAUUAUUGACUUAUUCCAGCUGCGUUCCAUAUGGUAUCCAUAUGUCAAAGGUUGAUAGACAUUCUUGUCUUUUUCAAUUAGCAAUAAAAUUAGAAUUCAAUGGAUGGUCAUAUUCGGGAGUAAUCAAUAUAUUCAUAACGAAAAUUAUUGUUGUCUUUAGACCAUAAGUAGAACCAUUAAUGAUGUGACAAAUUUUGGUAGAGUUUAGAUUUUUGGGAACAUUUUAUUCUCUAUAAUUACAUUUUAUUUAGUGCUAACUAGGUAACUGUAUUUUAAUUUUGGUCAAUACAAUUGUUUAACUUGAUUUCAAUUGAAAAACUCCGUUUGAUUCAAUCAUUUGCACUAAUGGAGAUCAAUUAUGUAAUAUUCAAAAAAAGGUGAUCAUCAUUUAUUUCAUUAAAAUUGUACUUAUUUUACUUCUUCAACUAAUGACCACGUGUAAUGAUGUUCAUUCGUUAAAUAUCACAUAAUUGGUUUCUGUCAAUUUAACUGGAUGAAGUUACCCUAAAUAAAAUAAACUUAAAAUGUAGUUACUUGAUAGAAGUAAAAUUAAAGUGUUUAUAUUAAAUCGAAAUUAAAUUAAAAUGUAGUUACCUGAUUAAACAAAAUUAAAGUAUAGUUACUUGAUUGAUAUUAUGAUAAAAGUAUAGAUACUGUGAAUGAAAUUAACAUUUUAGAAUUUCAUUUAUUGUGCCGAGUGAAUAACAAUGCUACACUGCCAUGGAAAAUUUCAAAGACUCCAUACAAGGGGACAGUUGAUUGAUUAUCACGAAAGUCAAGCAGAAUUCUAUAAUUUCAAUUUUUCACAAAACUAUCACAUUUGAUCAUCUUAAGAAACAAAAGUCUAACUUAAGAGUAAUUUCUUGAUUAAGAGCGUGUCCAGUUGAGAUUUCACAUUGGUUUAGUGAUUCAACAACUUUAAAUCUCUUCUUUCUCUAGAGGAAGAUUGUAUCACAUAACUGAUCUUCCAACAUUCACACUUUAGUAAAUAAAGUAAAGAAUGUUUUAAUUCCUCGUGCUUAUUAGUUACAGCUACAAGAGCUAGUUGUAGUUGGUGAACAAAUUAAUGAAUAUAGAAACUAAUGGGUUCUCUUUCGAAAUAAAGGGCUUUGAGACCAUUAUACUCUUGGAGCAUCAUAACCUUGACAUCUUAAACUAUAUAUACUCUAGUUUAAUUUAGAGAAUAAGUGAUCGAUAGGAGCCUUAGUAAGCGAGAUAUGGUACUUGACACAUGUUCAAUACUAGUAAAAUGUUUCGUUACUAUCCCUUCUUAUUCAAAUAACGCAAAACAAUUGACAUUUGAUAUCCAUCACAAUAACAUCGAGUUUCAAAGGCAAUAGCACUUGGAUAUCCUUUGAAUACUAUGUGACAUUAACUGGAGAUUUUUUGGGAGCAUUCUUCAAAGAAACAACCAUAAUCUCAUCAUUUGGAUCACUUAACAACUACAAUAAUUCAAGAAAAUUCCCUUGACUUUUUUUUUUUUUUUUUUUACUAUUUGAUUUGAAAAAUAAUAAUAAAAGCAUCUUUUUGCUAUUGUAUUCCAACUAAUCGGGAAUGUCAUUAAUUUAAAAAGGAUUGAAUCCCCUUAAUGAUGAAUCUUCAAAUUCUUUCUUUGGACACAUGAUUUUGAGGCUGAUAUGGACCCCUUUGUGUAUAUGCUCUUCGAAUUUAAUGUGAUCCAUGGAACAAAGGCAACAAAUACAAGUUCGAGCAAAGAUCCGUUGAUUGUCAAAAAAGGGCCGAUGACUCGAUUGCGAGCAAGGAGGGUCAAAGAAGCAAUGAGAUUGCUUGUUCAAGUUGCAUUGGAUGAAACGUCGAUCUUGACGAAUAAAGGAACAAGUUUCAUGUUGGUCUUGGGUGAAGAUUUGAAGUGGAUCAACUUGUUUCGAAUAGCGGACAGAGGGCCUAAAACGGUGAAUGGUGCGACUGCAGAGUUCACAUUAGUAUGCGGUUGCAUGCCUAUAUUCAGAGAGUUAACUUGGGGAUAAACUAUGAUCCAUGCGACCGCACUAUAAUACACUAUGCAUUUGCAUAGUUUAGCGAUUUUUUUCAUUUUUCGCAAAAUCUUUUAAUUCUAGUAAAACUCUAUUUUUAUGGUAAUUUUUUUAUAAUUUUUUGGACUUUUAUUCAUUUUUAAUUAGGUUUUAGGAGCUUCCUAUAAAUAUGACUCAUUAUUUACAAUGUAAAAUAACAUUCAUUUAUAUCAAUUGAGAGAUUAAUUUUGUUAGCAUAUUUUACUUUCAAUUCCUAGUUCUUCAUUGAACAAAUUUCGAACUUAUCAAGAAUUACGUUUUUGUGGCAUUCAAAUCAUCCGAGUGAGGUUUUCAAAUCUUGUAACCAAGGGUUUAAUAUAUUGUCAACGAUUGUUGGUUACUUUAUUCAAUAUUCUUGAGUCAAACUCAAAACUUUGAUUUUUUUAUUUUCUUGGAUUGUGAUUCAAUCUCGUAUGGGUUUCAUUGCUUUAAUUGCUACAUAGGUUUGCGUAAGUUGGUAUAAGAGUUUAGGCUCCAAAAAUCAAGACCAUAUCCCUUUUUUGUUGAGUUUUCUUUUUCCUAUGUGUUCUUUGCAUUCUUCGUCUUUUGGAUCUUGAAUCCAUGAAAGUAUCCAAAAAAUUUCAAAAAUAGUUUGUGUGCUCAUUUAGCAUUCAAAUCAGUUUUUAUUUUUUUCCCUGGUUUUAUAAUCGAAUUUUUGAGUUAAAAAAAUAUGAAAUUUCAAAUAUAUAUAUUAUUUCGAAAAUUGCCAACAGCAUACAAAUUCAUAUUCUUUGAGUCCCGUCCAACCCAAAAUUCAAGAACCUCUUUCUUGAAUUAAUAAUAGUUUCCAUUCAAAGUGUCAAAGUCUUUUUUUUUUGGGAGUCUUCUAAAGUUAUAAAUCUCAUUCACAUUCUAGUUUGAAUUCUUCGAGAAUAAGACUUGGAUGAGUCCAUAUUAGUUCUUUCAGGCACUUGGGCAAAAGCAUUGAGUGAAGAAAAGGUAAGAGUGACGAGACUAAUAGAGGGAAAAGGUCAAAUUGAGUAAUAUCUGAGCGUAUACAUGUAAGGCAUAUACUAUUUUAGAUUUAGAAUGACUGACAGGGAUGAUAAUACCUCAUGUAGGAACAACAACCAAGUCAAUAUGUUAGAAGAGUUGAUACGGCAAUUUAAGAGACUGUUUGAAGAUGUGAGGGACAGGUUGGAUGGACAGAAAGGCCAGGAUGGAGGGGCAAGACCCAGUGCUUGCCAAUUUUCAUAGGGGAGUUCCCAAUGUAAGGAGGUAAGGUACGUUGGAGCCUAGGGUGGAGAAUUGUAGUGAUUAUGAUGCAGGUAGUGGUAUAGAUGAGGAUGCAAUUGUGGAUGUCGACUUAGGGACAGUAAGGGAUAGAGGAGUUAGACGUGAAAUGAGGGGUAAAGAACCUCUAAGAGAUGGAAUUGAUGGGAGUAUGGACAAUAUCAAAAUAACAAUUCUGUCAUUCAAAGGAAGGAGUGAUUCAGAAGCUUACUUGGAGAAGGAGAAGAAGAUUGAAUUGAUAUUGAUUGCCACAAUUACUCAGAGGAAAAUAAGGUAAAGAUUGCAGUACUUGAGCUCAUUGAUUAUGCUAUUACUUGGUGAGAUCAAGUAUUGACAUCUAGGAGGAGGAAUCGUGAUAGGCCAAUUAAUAUAUGGGAAGAGUUGAAGGCUGUCAUGAGGAAGAGGUUCAUGCCUAAUCAUUACUAUAGGGGCUUUAUCAAAAACUACAAAGCAUCUACCAAGGGACUAAGAGUGUGGAGGACUAUCAUAAAGAGAUGGAAAUAUUGAUGAUUAGAGUGAAUGUUGAGAAGGAUAGGGAGGCCACUGUGGCUCGAUUUUUGAAUUGUUUGAAUAGGAAAAUAGCUAAUGUAAUGGAGUUACAACAUUAUGUGGAGUUGGAAAACAUGCUACAAGUGGCUAUGAAGGUGGAGAGACAAUUGGAGAGAAAGGAGACAGCUAGGUAUCCAUCAGGUUCUUGGGAUUCUGAUCUAUCUAGGAAACUGAAGUGGGAUAACAACAAGGGAAUGAGGUUGUUUCGAAGAGCAAAGCUGAACUACUGAAUGGGAAAGAGAAAAGUGCUAGCAAUGUCACAUCUAAAGAGAAUCCCAGUCAUCUAGGAGUCAAGACAUGAAAUGUUUUAGGUGUUUGGGAUCGAGACACAUUGCUUCUAAAUGUUCUAACAAAAGGGUAAUAAUUUUGCGAGACAAUGGAAAAGUGGUGAGCAAUAGUGAGGAGGACUAUGGUGACAGGCCGGAAUUGGAAAAGGCUAGUGAUGGGGAAAAGGUAGAGUAUAUAGUGGGAGAGCUAUUGGUUACGACUCUUAGUGCUCAAAUCAAGGUAGUUGACUUGGAGUAGCAAAGGGAGAACAUAUUUCAUAGAAUAUGUUAUGGUAUGGUAUAGGGGUAUUUCUUGUACGGGCCUUAAAAUCUUAUAUGGGCCUAGGUUAGGAUUAGUAUAAAUAAUAUGUUGUAACCCUAUUUGUCACUAUUGAAUAAAAUAAUCUCUGCUUCGCUCUCGUGGAUGUAGGCACACCACCGAACCACGUAAAAUUUUUGUGUUGAUUUUCUUUUUCAUCUCUUUAAUAUUGCACAUAAAAUCCAACAUGAUAGUUGCACUAAUGUGAUUAGCACUAUACUUGUUGAAAAAUUGGAGUUAACCAUGCUAAAACAUCCUAAACGUUACUGACUACAAUGAUUGAAUGAAUGUAGAAAGGUUAAGGUGAACAAGUGCGUGUUGAUGAGUUUCUCAAUUGGUAGCUACUGUGAUGAAGUGAUCUGUGACAUAGUUUCUAUGCAUACCGGGCACAUUUUGUUGGGUAGGCCCUGACAAUAUGAUAGGAAUGUGAUACAUGAUGGUUAUAAAAUAGUUAUAGCUUUAUUAAGGACAAGAAAUCUAUUACUCUUGCAUCAUUAACAUAGGUACAAGUGUAUGAGGAUCAAAUCAAAAUGAAAAAUGAGGAAGAGAGAGAGAGAGAGUAUUGUGAGAAAUUGAUAGCAAGAGAGAAAAUAGUGAGGUGGCUAUUAGUAAAAAAAAAGGAGUAGAGACACAAGAACGAAAAGAAAAAGAGUCUUUUGAGAGGAGAGAAAUGUCAAAAGUGAAUUUCUUUACAAAACGAAGUGAGUUGAAGAGGACAUAGUUGAGAGUCAACCAAUAACCUUGUUGGUCUACAAGGAGUCACUCCUCAAUAUUGAAGACUUUAACACAUCCCUCCUAGUUUGGCUACGUCUUUAUUGUAGGAACUCAAGGAUGUAUUUCCGGAGGAUGUACUUAGUGGGUUACCACCCGUUCGAGGAAUUGAAAACCAAAUCGAUUUCGUACUUGUAGCUGACAUUCCGAACAGGUCAGCUUAUCGAAGUAAUUUUGAGGAGACUAAGGAGUUUCAAAGGAAAGUGGAGGAAUUGAUGAGCAAGGGGUAUGUAAGGGAGAAUAUGAGUACAUUUUGCAUGGAAAAGUUGUUUUCCUUGUGUGUAUGGUUAGUGCAAAAGGAAUAGAAGUAGAUGAGGAGAAGAUCAAAGUUAUUAAGGAAUGGCCAAUUCCCAAAAGUAUAAUUGAGGUAAGAAGUUUCCAUGGUUUGGCUAGUUUUUAUUUGCGUUUUGUUAAGGACUUUAACACAAUUGUUAAACCACUCAUGGAAGUUGUCAAGAAAAAUGUAGGAUUUAAAUGAGGCAUUAAAUAAGAACUUGCAUUUAAUACUAUUAAAAAUAAGUUGUACAAGGCAUCGGUUUUAGCACUUCUUAAUUUUGACAAAACUUUGGAGAUUGAAUGUGAUGCUUUAGGGGUAGGUAUUGGAAAUAUUUUAAUGCAGGAUAGAAAAUCGAUAACUUACUUCAGUGAAAAGCUAAGCGGGGCCAUUCUCAGUUAUUCUACAUAUGACAAAGAGUUGUAUACACUUGUUCGAGUUUUGGAGACAUGGCAGCACUAUCUAUGAUCAAAGGAGUUUGUGAUUCACAUAGAUCAUGAGUCCUUGAAGAAUGCAAGAUAGGUGGAGUUCAUCGAGACAUUUUCAUACAUCAUUCAGUAUAAACAAGGUAAAGAAAAUAUGGUAGCUAAUGCAUUAUAAAGAAUGUAUGUGCUUUAACUUCUUUAAGUGCUAAAUUGCUUGGAUUUGAAUAUGUUUAGAACAUGUAUGCUAAUGACCUGGAUUUUUCUAAUAUAUACGAAACAUGUGAUAAAUGGGUUGUGGUUCUUUCGGGAUGAUGGUUUUCUAUUUCGGAAAAAUAAAUUUUUUGUUCCUAAUUAUUCAAUGAAAGAGUUGUUAGUGAAAGAAAUACAUAGUGGGGGUUUACUGAGAUAUUUUGGGGUAAGAAGACCUUAGAGAUGAUUGGUAAAUAUUUUUAUUGGCUUAAGAUGAAAACUGAUGUUGAUUGAGGUUUGUUGUAGAUGCAUCACUUGUAAAAAGGCUAAUUUGCAACAAAGGGGAGAUGAUCCAUUUCAAGUCCUUGAAAUGAUUAAUGACAAUGCCUACAAAUUGGAUCUUCUUGGUGAGUAUAAUGUUUCGAUUACCUUUAAUGUGUCUGAUCUUUCUCUCUUUAAUGCAGGUACAGAUUCGAGAUCGAAUUCUUUCAAAGAGGGAGGGGGUGAUAUGAUCCAUAUGAACAAAGAUAAUGAAUGCAAGUUGGGGCAAAGAUCCGUCGAUUGUCGAAAAAGGGUUGAUGACUCAGUCGUGAGCAAAGAAAGUCAAAGAAGCAACGUGAUUACUCGUUCAAAUUGCAUUGGAUGAAAUGUCAAUCUUGGUGAGCAAAAAAACGAGUUUCAUGUUGGGCUUGAAUGAAGAUUCAAAGUGGAUUAACUUGGUUUGAAUAGCGGACGAAGAGCCUGAAAUAGUGAACUACGUGACCGUAUAGUUCGCAUAGGUAUGCAUUUGCAUGCCUAUAUUCAGAGAGU
rnacentral:lncRNA from 1 species